GUACACUCCUACGGGAGGCAGCAGUGGGGAAUUUUGGACAAUGGGCGAAAGCCUGAUCCAGCAAUGCCGCGUGAGUGAAGAAGGCCUUCGGGUUGUAAAGCUCUUUUGUCAGGGAAGAAACGGUGAAAGCUAAUAUCUUUUGCUAAUGACGGUACCUGAAGAAUAAGCACCGGCUAACUACGUGCCAGCAGCCGCGGUAAUACGUAGGGUGCAAGCGUUAAUCGGAAUUACUGGGCGUAAAGCGUGCGCAGGCGGUUUUGUAAGUCUGAUGUGAAAUCCCCGGGCUCAACCUGGGAAUUGCAUUGGAGACUGCAAGGCUAGAAUCUGGCAGAGGGGGGUAGAAUUCCACGUGUAGCAGUGAAAUGCGUAGAUAUGUGGAGGAACACCGAUGGCGAAGGCAGCCCCCUGGGUCAAGAUUGACGCUCAUGCACGAAAGCGUGGGGAGCAAACAGGAUUAGAAACCCUCAGUAGUCCCAUGA
rnacentral:rRNA from 1 species